AGCAACUAUUAUUUUUGUUGGAGUGGCCAUGUUUGUCCUUGGGACGUUGGGUUGUGCUGGAGCGUGCGGGGUCAACGCUCGCCUGCUAUACACGUAUGCGGGGAUCAUGCUGUUCCUCCUGGUGGCGAAGAUCACUGGCAUAAUUGUGUGUACUACUAUGAACACGUGGGUAGACGAUCAGUUGACUGCAGCUCUUCAGUCAACCAUAACCGACAAAUAUGGCGGCGGUGACGUCACAGAUAGCAUCUCAAAUGCAUGGAAUUAUGCA